ensembl:lncRNA
GAGAGGUUCCCGUCCCCGUGGCAGGGAUGGGCCAAUCCCAGGGCGUCCGGUCCCCCCGGGGCGCGCCGACGCCGGGGCACGUGCCCGCAGCGGCCGCGACCCGGGUAAAGGGCUUAAGAGGGGUCUGGAGUCAAGACGGGCUUCCGGCCGGCGAAGCUCGCAGGCUGCCGGGGAGUCCCGCGUCCGCACGCCGCCGCCGUGGGCAAGUCCCAACCCUGACUGAACAAGGAGCCCGCUGGAAACGCGGUCCGGCCUUCAGUGCCCUCACCUGUGAGACGGGCCCAGGGCUGCCCCGAGGCCAGGGGAGUUGGGGUGCGUGGAACGCGCCGCCGGCUAGGAAGCGGGGCGAAGGCCAGGCGGGACUCGGCGGCUCCGGAAAGCGGGCGCCCGGCUCCACCAGCCCGGGAGGCUGACCGCGGAUCACGCGCUGAGCAGAGCCCGCUGUCCUUGUCUGACUUCCGGGGCCCGCCGUCCAGAGUGGGCUUGUGGCGGUGCGAACCGCCUGCUCGCCUCGUGUCGUCUUACUAGGUCUUAGCAGCGGUAUGGGGCGGCGUCGUAGAGGGGCGUCAGUGCUGACGCCGCACAGCCUGGGCGCGAAGGAGCCAGGGUUGGACCCAGGUGUCCACCUGCUCAGCCCGCAGGCCUUCCACCAGGUGGCUCCUGCACCCAGAGGAGCCCAUGCAGCUCCUCCAGAAGGUACUCGGCUCUCGUCGGUGAGAACCGCCUGGCCCUCGUGCCCCCUUGAUCUCCAUCGUCGACCGCGGUGUCUGGAAGACCAGGCUCCUGGUCUUCUGGGAGCAUACUCAGGAUCCUGGAAGGGCGGGCGGGAGCUGCGAGUUUCACCUUAAAGCGAGGGACGGGCCAUAAGCAGGCUAGGCAUGGCCACCCCGGGACCCUUUCCCCAAAGAACCAGAGCCACCCACCGCCGCAUUAGGAGGUGUGAUCCCCCUCUAGAGGAGGGGCUCUUGACCCUUGCGGUCAUCACAGCAGCCCCUGCCUCACUUUCUUUGUUAACAGACUUAAAAAGUUUCUGGUUUGCUGCAAAGAGUAAAGGGGUACCUCAUGCCAUCACCACACACAGCACAAUUUCCUUUAUGAUUGACAUGUUAGUAUCUCCUUUGUUACUAACAUAUUAUGUGGUUGCUGCGUUUGCUACAAUUGAUUAACGGUACAGACACGUUACUGUUAACUGGAGUCCACAGCUUGUUCAGAGUUUCUUCGUUUUUUCCCCAGUAUGUUUCUUCUGCGUCAGGAGCCCGGCCAGAAUACUGCAUCACGUGAUUGUCCACCUGACUUUUUCAUUGUGAAGGUGCGGUAUUGAGAGAUGAGGUUAAAGAAGCAUGUACUUGCUGAACUCCUUGGCUUCGAGUCUAAGUAUGAGUGCGUGCAUGCUAAGUCAUCUCAGUUGUGUCCAACUCUGUGCGACCCUGUGGACUGCAACCCGCCAGGCUCCUCUGACCGUGGGAUUCUCCAGGUGAGAACACGAGUGGGUUGCUGUGCGCUCCUCCAGGGGAUCUUCCUGACCCAGGGAUCGAAACUGUGUCUCCUAUGUCUACGUGCGUGGGCAGGUGGAUUCUUUACCACUAGCGCCACCUGGGAAGUCCCCGUUUUGUGUAUAUUUUACCACAUUUUUUUUUAAGCUGAAGAAAUAAAUACGCAAUUUAAACAAGAUACCUGGUCUUAGCUUUUCAAUAAGGGAAACCUAUGUGUAUAUACUUCAAAACUAAACAGAACUGUGCCCAGAAGGCCCUACAUUCCUCCCAGACCUGGGAUCAGGGCUCAGUGCAGACUGGGCUCCAGCAGUGCCAUCACGGACUGUUACUAAUAACAGUAGCAUUAACAAGAGCUGCUGUGAGUGAUCUCUCACUGUUCUGGCAGCGUUACCACCUUAUCUCACGUAUUCCUUACAGAGCUGCCGGAGCAGUUACGUUCGUUAGCUUCAUGUAAAGAAGGGGAAGAUGGCACAGAGAAUUUAGGGGACUCACCCAAGGUCACACAGCUGGUAGUGGCAGCACCAGGAUCCUAUCAGAGCCAGAACUUGCUCACCCCCACUGCCACGCCAGCCUCACAUUCCAAACCCCUCCAAAG